rnacentral:rRNA from 1 species
UACGUAGGCAGCAAGCGUUGUUCGGAAUUACUGGGCGUAAAGAGUGUGUAGGCGGUGCUCUAAGUUCGGUGUGAAAUCUCCCGGCUCAACUGGGAGGGUGCGCCGAAUACUGAAUGACUCGAGUGCGGGAGAGGAGAGUGGAAUUCCUGGUGUAGCGGUGAAAUGCGUAGAUAUCAGGAGGAACACCGGUGGUGUAGACGGCUCUCUGGACCGUAACUGACGCUGAGGCACGAAAGCGUGGGGAGCGAACAGG